AGUAUAAAAUCAGAGCAUUGACACAAACAACAACAUUUGGAAAAUAAAUCCAGAAUCCUUCUUUUAGUUAUUCAAAUAGUCACUGCAGCAUGCUUUGAUGUAGAAGACUGUCACAAAGAUGUAGAAACUGGACCUCAUUAUUGCGAUGCGGAAAUCCACGUUUUCAAGUGGAACGAUCAACUUAAAAAAUGCGAAUCUUCUUAUUACGGAGGAUGUAAUCCAACAAAUAAUAAUUUCCGGACUGUGGAAGAAUGUCAACAAGUUGCAGAACCUGUGUGUAGAGUACAAAAUAAAUUCUAAAGAAUUAUUUUAUAACUAAAAUAGUUAAUAUGGUUUUGUAGAAAUUAGGAUAAUUUUGAUUUGUUAUUAUAAAAAUGUAACAAAA